AUGAAAGCAGAGGGAGAGAACGCGCUUGAUGCGUCGCCGAAGGAGCAAACCCACCUUAUCAAUCUCUCAGGCAAAAGUACCUCUGCGGGACG
rnacentral:ncRNA from 2 species